GACGAACGCUGGCGGCGUGCUUAACACAUGCAAGUCGAACGGAAAGGCCCUGCUUUUGUGGGGUGCUCGAGUGGCGAACGGGUGAGUAACACGUGAGUAACCUGCCCUUGACUUUGGGAUAACUUCAGGAAACUGGGGCUAAUACCGGAUAGGAGCUCCUGCUGCAUGGUGGGGGUUGGAAAGUUUCGGCGGUUGGGGAUGGACUCGCGGCUUAUCAGCUUGUUGGUGGGGUAGUGGCUUACCAAGGCUUUGACGGGUAGCCGGCCUGAGAGGGUGGCCGGCCACAUUGGGACUGAGAUACGGCCCAGACGCCUACGGGAGGCAGCAGUGGGGAAUAUUGCACAAUGGGCGGAAGCCUGAUGCAGCAGCGCCGCGUGCGGGAUGACGGCCUUCGGGUUGUAAACCGCUUUCGCCUGUGACGAAGCGUGAGUGACGGUAAUGGGUAAAGAAGCACCGGCUAACUACGUG
rnacentral:rRNA from 1 species